rnacentral:rRNA from 1 species
UCUUAAGUUUCGGGUUUCAAAUAGAUGAAUAGAACAACGUAAAGUCAAGAAAUUAAAGGUCAUUAAAUAGGACAAGUAGAGGAGAUAGGAGCAUUUCUAGUCUAAAAACAGGAGAGGAGCAGCUGCGCCCUCGACGCUGCUGCGAGGUCUAGGCCUCGAUAGCGACCAGAGGUGGAACCUGGCGAGAUCGCGUUACGCCUCCCGGUAGAGGAGGAGCAUCAGCUCGAGGCUCGGCCUCAACCAGUAGUAUCACCUACACUAGCCUUAGUCCCUCCCCCUCCUCACCUACUACGCUCUCUCUCACUCGAUCCCAAACCUCGCUCCGCGGGCUUAACCCUAAAAGCACCCUGUCAACGCCCCAGCCACCACCCAGCCCGGACAGUUCGCCUGCGCGAGCUCGUACGGGCCUAGUGGGGUAUAGGUAGGACAUAAACCCAACCUAUACUCCCCAUGGCCAGUCGGGCCGGCAAAUAGGCGUCAACCUCUCAAAGCCAACCUAGCUAAAAAAAAAAAUGGCCAUUCACUGGUCUACCAAACGGGCUCGCAGACUCUGCCUAUGCUAACCAGGCCGAAAUCUACGAGACUCUCUUUGUUUUGCUCGGUACCUCUUGUCUGCGCUCUCCUAUUCCAAUCGACUCUACACAUGAUAUAAAAAAUUCUUCUCACCACGACCGACGUAGGAUGCUAGUGUUGGUUACAGGGGUAGCGUGCAAAGAGCACACUGGCCGCAUUUUGUAAAGGGUAAAGAGUACCCUACAGUAGCCGGUCUGAGAUAUAUUUCCAGAGGGUAGGAACAUAGUAACCAUUCGAUUCUUUAGUUUCGGUUUCAAAUAGAUGAAUAGAACAACAUCAUAAAGUCAAGAAAUUAAAGGUCAUUUAACAGAACAAUAGUAUGAUGUUAAGUAGGACCAGCAGAGGAGAUAGGAGCAGUUCUAGUCUAAAAACAGGUAGAGAGGAGCAGUCUAGGUAGCCCUAGGACUGUCAGCACACAUGUCCACGGGGCGGUACUUCACGGGAAGGCUAAGGAGCCGACCAGCACUAGGGACCCGAGGAGGAGGGCGAAGACCGCCACCGCCGAGGUCGCUCGGUCGGUUCUUCGCCGUCGCCUGGAGCUCGAGCUCGGUCCGACUCCGUAGGAGGAGCAGGAGUGUCGGAGGCGGCGUCGUCGGCCCCCUGCGCUCUCUCCACGGCCUAGACCCCCUCCUGCACUACAAGCUCCACGACGCCGCCCACCUCGGCGCCUGCGACCGACGGCGCCGCACGCAGUCGGUCCCGACCGCCCAGGAGCGCGUCCUGCUCUCCGACACCCUCCGCGGCACGCACUCCCUCACCUGGCCGGAGCCGAAGAGCCUUGUCGACGAGGCGCGGCAGCACGAGGGCAAGCCGCCGAAGGCGGCGGACGUGCGGCAGAGGUAGGUCCGGGCUGCCGCCAAGCCGCAACCGACGCCCUUGACCGUGCCGCACGCCUGCGGCCUUGCCCCCUCCUCCUCCCCCCACGGCACCUGGCUCGUGCUCGUGUCCAACAAGGAGAAUCCGGACUUCUUCAUGCCUUCUCCCCUAACCUCCUUGUAUAGUGCGUUGAAGCACGUCUGCUCCUGCGGCUGCGUCCACCGGUCGGUGCGGGUCUUCAUGAAAUAGUCCGAGUCGAGUCCCCACCGUUCCUCCAGCUCGUAGGUGCUGUAGUGGUGUCAAGUGGACUGGCUGCUGGUCGGAGGGCGCGGCAGGGUCACUAACUACUAGUUGGUCAGGUCGCGUGGCCGAGUCGCGCCGUUGCCCCGUCGUGCCGCCCCGCUCGUGUGGGAAGUCAAGCGGCUCGGCCAGCGAGCCCUACGGCUUGAUACCGUCCCAAACGUUCUAGUUCCGGACGUCACACCAGGAGAUGUACUAGUCGACCGGCGCUUGGCCUCAUGCGACAUAAUCUUCUACGUUCGCGUAGUCUACAGAUCACAUUAUACCGGGAACGACAUCGAAGUGACGGACAUAAUAAUAAGUUCAUUCAUUAACUAAUACCCCUAAAAAGUCUUGUAUCGUCUCUCUCCUCCAUACGACCACUACGAACCAUCAUCACGUAUUCACGACCACAACUAUGACUCUUACAGUCCCCUUUUCCUACGUCUAAUACUAGUACGUGUAACAGUUCACUGAACAAAAGUUAGAAGUACCUAGGACGAAAGACCAGUCGAGUACGUCGUAG